CGGCAACAGCUCAAAUUUGAAAUCUGGCCUCUUUGGGUCCGAGUUGUAAUUUGGAGAGGAUGUUUCGGGUACGGUCCCGGGCUUAAAUUUCUUGGAACAGAAUGUCAUGGAGGGUGAGAAUCCCGUCUGGAGCUCGGACACGGCCUAUGUGAAACUCCUUCGACGAGUCGAGUUGUUUGGGAAUGCAGCUCUAAAUGGGUGGUAAAUUUCAUCUAAAGCUAAAUAUUGGCCAGAGACCGAUAGCGCACAAGUAGAGUGAUCGAAAGAUGAAAAGCACUUUGAAAAGAGAGUUAAAAAGUACGUGAAAUUGUUGAAAGGGAAGCGCUGGCAACCAGACUUGCGCGUCGGGGUUCCCCCUUGCUUCUGCCUGGGUUACUCCCCGGCGUUCAGGCCAACAUCGGUUUCGGGGGUUGGUUAAAGGCCUUGGGAAUGUACUUACCCUGCCGGGGUAAACUUAUAGCCCAGGGUGU
rnacentral:sRNA from 1 species